rnacentral:rRNA from 1 species
AACGAACGCUGGCGGCAUCCCUAACACAUGCAAGUCGAACGAGACCUUCGGGUCUAGUGGCGCACGGGUGCGUAACGCGUGGGAACCUGCCCUUAGGUUCGGAAUAACUCCCCGAAAGGGGUGCUAAUACCGGAUAAUGUCUUCGGACCAAAGAUUUAUCGCCUUUGGAUGGGCCCGCGUUGGAUUAGCUAGUUGGUAGGGUAAAAGCCUACCAAGGCGACGAUCCAUAGCUGGUCUGAGAGGAUGAUCAGCCACACUGGGACUGAGACACGGCCCAGACUCAUACGGGAGGCAGCAGUGGGGAAUAUUGGACGAUGGGCGAAAGCCUGAUCCAGCAAUGCCGCGUGAGUGAUGAAGGCCUUAGGGUUGUAAAGCUCCUUUACCCGGGAUGAGAAUGACAGUACCGGGAGAAUAAGCGCCGGCUAACUCCGUG